CAAGGGCCCCUUUCUUGGCCUCCCACCCCAGUAAUCACCUUGCGAUCCGGGUCACAGGUUCCCCACGUACCACAGCCUUGGACUACACCACGGGGAACCUCAUCCGACUGGGCCUGGCUGCCGCAGCCCUGGUCAUUGCGGGUGCCUUCCUGCUCGAAGCCUGCUGUAGACAGGAGUCUCCACGGGGUGUCAGGUCCCCAGAAGGACAAUGAGUGCUUGAUCAAGCUAGACCUGCUGCAUCUUGACUGCUCUGGGGAACCAGCUUUCUCAGCUCUAUUGAGAGCUCUUGAAGGACAAGAUGAUGGCUUUCUUCUUUUUGUAAUCUUCCCCGGGGCAGAGGACAGGAAUGAGCAUAAACACUCACCUGAUAAACUCAGAAUGACUAAAAAUUGCUUAAAACGUCGGCGUCACACUAGGUAGCAUGCGGGUUUCCACCAGCAGGAAACUGCUCUUCCACUGACAAGUGGGGAAACAAUGCUUCUGGGAUAAUAUACAUUAUUGUUUCCCGCCUGUAUUUUGUAUUUCUGGGCCAGCACUUGUCAAAUAUUAAAAUUUCUGUGCUUAUCACACACAUCGUUUAAAUGUUAUUCCACACAUUCCCGACGCUUGACCUAAUUUUGAGAGCAUCGACUCUUUUAAACAGCAUCACUUUGCUCUUGA